rnacentral:lncRNA from 1 species
UCUGCUCCAAUAUAAUAAUAAACACAUGUCCAUUGCUGCCUAUUAGGGUCAUAACCAGCACCAUACCUGCAGUUAGAACUCAAAAAUUACUCACAUAAGCACUUUAAGUUAGAUGUAGAUGACAGCCCUAUAGAUAUCACACACACAUAGUUUCUGCUAGCUGCAGCAAGAAUGCCAGUGACAGAAUUAUGACAGGAGUUCUGGCCAACUCCAACCCAUCCUCAUUCAGCAAGCUUGUUCUUUCUCUGUUUCUGCUCCCAGCUGACAGAGCUACUUUAAAAAAAGAAAUCAUUUCUGCAAACAUGUGAAGCAGCUCAACCCUCUGGCAUUUAGCAGAAUAGGACUCUGUCAGAAUAAUCUAGAAAUCUGUUU